UGCAGGAGUAGCAUUUUAGAGCAUCUUUAUCGCUCUUGUUUCACACGGUCUCUUAAUGUAAAAGUGAAUUAAAAUAAAUCAAAAAUAUGUAAUAAGUGAAAACACGUCUCUUAAAUUGGAACAAUAAGAGACGUAUGUUAAAGGACACGUGUUGUUUCUUUCUUCCUCUUUUGAUUCUCAUCUUUUGAUUCUCUUCCUUUCGAUCAUGGCUACUGAUAAAUCUUCCUCCUUCCACCUCCUUGCUCCUCCUCCGGUGCCGGACUACUCUCGACUCAAACUCUGUCUUCUCUCUGCGAACCUCUGUUACCAAAAGCAAGGGUAAAUUCUAUUGUCUUUUCUCCGGCGGCAACCAGAAAGAGAUUGAUUGAAUUGGUCCUGGGAAUCAGUAUGUUACAUCUGUCAAGAUGAUUCUUCAAAACAGCGAGGCAAUGGUUUUAAUUGAUAUGCCUGCUGGCCCUUCAGAAGUUCUAUUCAUCGCUGAUGAACAUGCUAGUCCAGUUUACAUUGCAGCCGACUUGCUUUCUCAGGCUGAGCACCAUCCAAUACCAACUUUGUUUCUUAAAUCUUCCAGGCAAUAACUUUCUCAAACAUGUACGCACCCGAACACUUGAUCAUCAACGUCAAAGACGCUGAGAAAUGGGAGGGACUGAUCGAGAAUGCAUGUUCUGUUUUCAUAGGGCCGUGGACGCCAGAGAGUGUUGGGGAUUACGCUAGCGGCACAAACCACGUUCUCCCAACGUAUGGAUAUGUGAGAAUGUACAGUGGCGUCUCUCUAGACUCUUUCUUGAAGUUCAUGACUGUGCAGUCCUUGACAGAGGAAGGUCUGAGAAACCUUGGUCCCUAUGUGGCGACUAUGGCUGAAAUAGAAGGUCUAGAUGCACACAAGAGAGCCGUUACUCUCAGACUCAAGGAUAUUGAAGCCAGACAGCCUUUUCAAACAAAGUGAAUGAAUGCUAGUUUCAGAUUCAAAGGAGACAAAAUUUGGUUUCUUUAGAUUGUUUGAUGAUAUAAAUGAAGAGAUGUAUCACUCUUGUCAUAAUUUGGAUUGGUUUAUUUACAAAUGACAGAGACUUCAAGUUUAUACAGUAAGCUUCAAGAAUGAUGGAAUCGUUUUGUUGAUCA